UACGUAGGGGGCAAGCGUUGUCCGGAAUCAUUGGGCGUAAAGCGCGUGUAGGCGGCCUUGUAAGUCCGUUCUGAGAGUCCGGGGCUCAACCCCGGGAGGCGGAUGGAUACUGCAAGGCUCGAGUACGGAAGAGGCGAGUGGAAUUCCCGGUGUAGCGGUGAAAUGCGCAGAUAUCGGGAGGAACACCAAUGGCGAAGGCAGCUCGCUGGGACGUUACUGACGCUGAGACGCGAAAGCGUGGGGAGCAAACAGG
rnacentral:rRNA from 1 species